rnacentral:misc_RNA from 1 species
GGUGCACGCGAGGUCUGCUUGCCUCCAGGCACAUAGCGUACGAGGCAGAAAACGAAGAAUAGCACAUAGGGUAAGCUGAGCCUAUACGCACCCCUGUAUCUGCUUGCGUGUUCUCCUAGUACUGUGUUCCGCACGUUCAUCUUUCGCAUCAUUAGAGAGGUAACAGGCGUUGGUGGUUUGGUGGUGUUGGGGGGAGGUUGUCCUUGCCGUUGUUUCUGUGUGUGUGUGUGUGUGUGCACCUCCGAGGGCAGCGUUGGUUUGCCGAAAUCGUCGCGCCCCGUAACCCACCCCCGGCCUUGCGCGCGUUUCUCUCGCUUCCAACGUUGCCGAUAGCGUCUCGCAGCGCACCACUGGCUCAGCCACGCACACGCAUAUACACACAUCUAUAUAUAUAUAUAAACUCUUUCACGCUAUAGCAAAAAAGCAAGCCAUGUCCGCGUCCGUGAACAACUUGGAUGGUAAGCUGGACUUGGUAGACAUCACGGCGUUGAGUGCCGCGUAUGAGCCGGAGGAGGUGCUUGGCGAGGGCACGUACGGCAUCGUGUUUCGGGCUCGCAACAAAGCAACCGGGGCCAAGUAUGCCAUCAAGAAGCUCCGGCUAGACGGCUUCUCGGAAGGCGUGCCAGCGACCACUAUCCGCGAGGCGACUCUCUUACACGAUCUCAACGACAACCCAAAUGUGGUGAAGCUUCUAGAUGUAGUGUGUAGUGACCAUCGUGUCUACCUCGUUUUCGAGCUACUUGACGAGGACCUCCGAAGCUUUAUCAAGCGGUACCGUCCCGUCAGCGGGCAGAAACCCACAAAUGGCACAGCGGUGCCGCUCCACCUUGUGCGGGAGUUUACGCGUCAGAUUCUCUACGCGUUGUGGACAUGCCACAACAACCGCAUCCUACAUCGAGACCUGAAGCCAGGCAACAUCCUCGUGGCAAACUACCGCAGCAAGAAUGGGGAGACGAAGUUCUACGUGAAGCUGGCCGACUUUGGGCUGGCACGCAUGUUCGAGAUGUCAGUGCAGACGUACACGCACGAGGUCAUGACCUUGUGGUAUCGUUCCCCCGAGAUUAUUCUCGGCGAUCGUCACUACACGCCGGCGGCAGAUGUGUGGUCAGUGGGCUGCAUCGUCGCGGAGAUGAUUCUCGGCUAUUCCCUCUUUCGUGGCGAGAACUGGCGCGACCAGCUGGACAAGGUCUUCUACGUUGUGGGCACUCCGACGGAGCAGACGUGGCCCGGUGUCACGAAGCUGCCUGGAUACGACCGCAACUUCAAGGUUUACCACGUGGCACCCCUGCCGACGCGGCUGCGCGACUACGACGAGAAAGCGGUAGAGUUCAUUGCCUACUUGCUUGUCACGAACCCGAAGCUUCGGCCCACGAUUCCGGAAAUCCUGGAACACCCCUUUAUGAAGGAUGCGUAGCGCAUCUCCUUUGAUUAUUCAUGCCUUGCCCAAUGCGGCGCUGCCCCGGCGCUGUUCUGUUCUUGUCUGCCUCUUCUGGGGUGCCUUUACCACCUUACCUGUUCCUGACCGGAGACGCUGAUGUGCCGUCGUUGUGUCGCGUGCGUGCGCCUCACCUCUAAGUGACUGGCUCGAUCCAGUGACGGUUGUGCUGGCAGACGUGUAUGACCUGCUCUCGGGGGUGGGGUGAGGCAGACACGUACCCCCCCCCCCCACACACACACACACACGCGCGCACACACGUGGAUACGAGGUCUUGCUCUUCUUGCAGGUUGUCCCAUGCAAGCACUUUGUCUCCCACGGGUAGUGCUGGGGCUUCUAAUCGUGCCGCGAGCCGCCUCGUGCGCCUGCAUUGUGGCUGAGGUGAGAUGCCCUGGUGGGCCUCCGCGACUUUUUUCUUUUAUUGCCCCAUUGUCUUGCGCUGGCGUAGAGCCGCCCCCUCCUCUCCAACUCCGGAACACGUGCCGUGUCGUUCUUGUGCAACGGGAAAAGAAAGGGUCUCGCCUUGUGGAAGGGUAAAGGCAAGACCACCCCCUUCUCGUGCCCCCGCUACACGCUUGCAUUGCACAAGAGCGAGGCAGGAACGCCCCUUCCUUUUCAUCUCGUGGCUAUGUUUGCUCUGGCCCACAGGAUGGGAGGGCGGGGCAAGAAUCUCUUGGCUGCUGGGCGUCAGCCCGUGCGUUAGAUGUCCGCCUUGCCUGCUUUGUUGAGGAGUGCCGGAUGAAUUGAAGGGAGGGUGAGGCGGCAGUUAUGGCGUUUGCGCUCUUGAUACCACUAAACUGCCCCACAGUCGAUAUGAGCGAAUGAGGGCGUUCCUCGUGCCACUGGAUCGGCUCCUUGCCCAUCACUCUGGCCAUGCGUCGCAUGUGAAGGCGACCGCCCUUUUUCCUUGCGCGCGCCUCUGCCCACUCCUUUCGGAUUACUUCUCGCUCUCUGUUCUCUCUGUGUGUGCGCGCAUGUGUCCGCGCGUCAUCAUGCGAAUCCCCAACCUCCGCAG